UACGUAGGGUGCGAGCGUUGUCCGGAAUUACUGGGCGUAAAGAGCUUGUAGGCGGUUUGUCGCGUUGUUCGUGAAAUCUCACGGCUUAACUGUGAGCGUGCGGGCGAUACGGGCGGACUAGAGUACUGCAGGGGAGACUGGAAUUCCUGGUGUAGCGGUGGAAUGCGCAGAUAUCAGGAGGAACACCGGUGGCGAAGGCGGGUCGCUGGGCAGUAACUGACGCUGAGAAGCGAAAGCGUGGGGAGCGAACAGG
rnacentral:rRNA from 1 species